UACGUAGGGGGCAAGCGUUGUCCGGAAUCAUUGGGCGUAAAGCGCGUGUAGGCGGCCAGGUAGGUCCGUUGUGAAAACUCGAGGCUCAACCUCGAGACGUCGACGGAAACCAUCUGGCUAGAGUCCGGAAGAGGAGAGUGGAAUUCCUGGUGUAGCGGUGAAAUGCGCAGAUAUCAGGAAGAACACCCGUGGCGAAGGCGGCUCUCUGGGACGGUACUGACGCUGAGACGCGAAAGCGUGGGGAGCGAACAGG
rnacentral:rRNA from 1 species